rnacentral:rRNA from 1 species
ACGAGGGGGGCGAGCGUUGUUCGGAAUUAUUGGGCGUAAAGGGCGCGUAGGCGGUUUUUUAAGUCGGAUGUGCAAUCCCUGGGCUCAACCCAGGAACUGCAUCCGAGACUGGAAGGCUAGAGUACUGGAGAGGGUGGUGGAAUUCCUCGUGUAGCGGUGAAAUGCGUAGAGAUGAGGAGGAACACCAGUGGCGAAGGCGGCCAGCUGGGCCAGGUCCGACACUGAGGCGCGAAAGCGUGGGGAUCAAACAGGA